UGAAUAGCUUUGGGUACAGGUGAUUUCGAUUCGUGAAAUCUUGAAAGGGAAGCUGGUGAAAGUCCAGCGCGGUCCCGCCACUGUAAUUGCGAGCUAGCUGCUAUAACCACUGUACAUGUAAAUGUAUGGGAAGGUGCAGCUAGUGAUGAGCAAGAGCCAGGAGACCUGCCUGUGCCUAUCGUGCACC
rnacentral:ncRNA from 1 species